CUGCCCAGUGACAAAGUUCAACGGCCGCGGUAUCCUAACCGUGCAAAGGUAGCAUAAUCAUUUGCCUAUUAAUUGUAGGCUAGAAUGAACGGAUAAACGAAAUAAAAACUGUCUCAAUUAGUAACCUAAAAAUUAAUAUCUAUAUGAAGAAAAAUAGAUACAUUUGAAGGACAAGAAGACCCUAUAGAGCUUUAUUUUAUGUAUAAAUUUAAAUUUAUAUAAAAAAUUCGGUUGGGGCGACCCUGGGAUUAUUAAUCACCCACUUUUACAUAGAUUAAUUAAUCAAAUAACUGACCCUAAUAAGAUCAAAAAAAUAAGUUACCUUAGGGAUAACAGGCUAAUUCUAUUGAAGAGUCCAUAUCAAUAAUAGAGUUUGGCACCUCGAUGUUGGCUUAGGGUAUCAAUAUAGCGCAAAAGUUAUAUAAAGAUGGUUUGUUCAACCACUAACUCCCU
rnacentral:rRNA from 1 species